GGCCAGACUCCUACGGGAGGCAGCAGUGGGGAAUAUUGCACAAUGGGGGAAACCCCGAUGCAGCGACGCCGCGUGAGUGAAGAAGUAUUUCGGUAUGUAAAGCUCUAUCAGCAGGAAAGAAAAUGACGGCACCUGACUAAGAAGCCCCGGCUAACUACGUGCCAGCAGCCGCGGUAAUACGUAGGGGGCAAGCGUUAUCCGGAUUUACUGGGUGUAAAGGGAGCGUAGACGGUGAAGCAAGUCUGAAGUGAAAGGCGGGGGCUCAACCCCCGGACUGCUUUGGAAACUGUUUGACUGGAGUGCAGGAGAGGUAAGUGGAAUUCCUAGUGUAGCGGUGAAAUGCGUAGAUAUUAGGAGGAACACCAGUGGCGAAGGCGGCUUACUGGACUGUAACUGACGUUGAGGCUCGAAAGCGUGGGGAGCAAACAGGAUUAGAUACCCGUGUA
rnacentral:rRNA from 1 species